GCUUCAAUCACAGUUUGGUUCUCUGACUCUGAGUUUUCGGAGUGACUAUUCCAAUCCUAAACGACAUAUUGGGUUCUCAGCAUACUAUACAGCUGUUGAUAUUGAUGAAUGUGAAGAGACUACUACGUGUUCUCAUGACUGCAACAAUUAUAUUGGAGGAUACUACUGUUCUUGUCAACCUGAAUACUUCCUUCAGGAAGACAAUUCGACCUGCUCAGUAAACUGCAGGACAGAUCUUCACCAGUCUCAGUGGUAUUGUGAGCAGCCCCAUUCUCCUGGUCAUUACC